GGGCCCGUAGCGUAGUGGCCACGCGUUUGCUUCAUAAGCAGAUGAUCAUGGAUUCGAUCCCAGCCCCG
rfam:Aedes albopictus isolate Foshan contig73302, whole genome shotgun sequence.